CAGCAGCCGCUGGAAUACGUAGGUGGCAAGCGUUGUCCGGAAUUAUUGGGCGUAAAGGGCUCGCAGGCGGUUUCUUAAGUCUGAUGUGAAAGCCCCCGGCUCAACCGGGGAGGGUCAUUGGAAACUGGGAAACUUGAGUGCAGAAGAGGAGAGUGGAAUUCCACGUGUAGCGGUGAAAUGCGUAGAGAUGUGGAGGAACACCAGUGGCGAAGGCGACUCUCUGGUCUGUAACUGACGCUGAGGAGCGAAAGCGUGGGGAGCGAACAGGAUUAGAUACCCCCGUAGUCCCUGUCUCUUAUAC
rnacentral:rRNA from 1 species